GAUGAACGCUGGCGGCGUGCCUAAUACAUGCAAGUCGAGCGAACAGACGAGGAGCUUGCUCUUCUAACGUUAGCGGCGGACGGGCGAGUAACACGUGGAUAACCUACCUCUAAGACUGGGAUAACUUCGGGAAACCGGAGCUAAUACCGCAUAAUAUUUUGAACCGCAUGGUUCAAUAGUGAAAGACGGCUUUGCUGACACUUAUAGAUGGAUCCGCGCCGCAUUAGCUAGUUGGUAAGGUAACGGCUUACCAAGGCAACGAUGCGUAGCCGACCUGAGAGAGUGAUCGGCCACACUGGAACUGAGACACGGUCCAGACUCCUACGGGAGGCAGCAGUAGGGAAUCUUCCGCAAUGGGCGCAAGCCUGACGGAGCAACGCCGCGUGAGUGAAGAAGGUCUUCGGGUCGUAAAACUCUGUUGUUAGGGAAGAACAUAUGUAUAAGUAACUAUGCACGUCUUGACGGUACCUAAUCAGAAAGCCACGGCUAACUACGUG
rnacentral:rRNA from 1 species